UUAUUUCUCCGGGGCCCAGGGGCAAUAGCCCAGAGCCAGAGAGGGAAAAUCACUUUCAUCUGGAGAAGCUCGUCCGUUAACACGGGGCGGCCCAUCUGCAGCUCCCCGCUGUUCCUAAAAGAAAGAUUAAGGAUUUGAGUUGGCCUGACGGAGAGAUCUUCCAGGCGACUCCGGCCCAUGGAGGAUGCAGAGCAUCACAUCAGAUCAAACAUUGAUAAACCAGUACUUUACCAGCGUUUUAUCAAUAUCUU